UCCUUGCUGCACGUUUUAGGGGCCUUCGGACGGGGGUAAAAACCCUAUCCCAUGCUGUUCAACCCUUUGUCUUUUGCGUACUGUAUGUUUCCUCGGCGGGUUCGCCCGCCGAUAGGACAUUUCAAAACCUUUUGUAAUUGCAAUCAGCGUCAGAAAAACUAUAAUAGUUACAACUUUCAACAACGGAUCUCUUGGUUCUGGCAUCGAUGAAGAACGCAGCGAAAUGCGAAAAGUAGUGUGAAUUGCAGAAUUCAGUGAAUCAUCGAAUCUUUGAACGCACAUUGCGCCCCUUGGUAUUCCAUGGGGCAUGCCUGUUCGAGCGUCAUUUGUACCCUCAAGCUCUGCUUGGUGUUGGGUGUUUGUCCCGCCUUCGCGCGUGGACUCGCCUUAAAGUGAUUGGCAGCCGGAAUAAUUCUGGGGAACGCAGCACAACUGCAGCCUCCAUUUUACGCCGAGCGUCCAGUAAGCCUUUUUUUCACGUUUGACCUCGGAUCAGGUAGGGAUACCCGCUGAACUUAAGCAUAUCAAUAAGCCGGAGGAAAUCAUUAUCAAUUUUAAGUCCUGGGAUGGGGGUAAAAAACCUAUCCAUGCUGUUUCAACCUUUGUCUUUUGCGUACUGUAUGUUUCCUCGGCGGGUUUGCCGCGAUAGGAAAUUUCAAACCUUUGGUAAUUGCAUCCGCGCCAAAAACAAUAAAAGUUCAAUUUUAACCGGAUUUUGGGUUCGGGCUCC
rnacentral:rRNA from 1 species